rnacentral:rRNA from 1 species
AACGAACGCUGGCGGCAGGCUUAACACAUGCAAGUCGAGCGCCCCGCAAGGGGAGCGGCAGACGGGUGAGUAACGCGUGGGAUUCUACCCGUCUCUACGGAAUAACGCAUGGAAACGUGUGCUAAUACCGUAUACGUCCAUCGGGAGAAAGAUUUAUCGGGGAUGGAUGAGCACGCAUUGGAUUAGCUAGUUGGUGGGGUAAAGGCCUACCAAGGCGACGAUCCAUAGCUGGUCUGAGAGGAUGAUCAGCCACACUGGGACUAAGACACGGCCCAGACUCCUACGGGAUGCAGCAGAGGGGGAUAUUGGACAAUGGGCGCAAGCCUGAUCCAGCCAUGCCGCGUGAGUGAUGAAGGCCCUAGGGUUGUAAAGCUCUUUCACCGGUGAAGAUAAUGACGGUAACCGGAGAAGAAGCCCCGGCUAACUUCGUGCCAGCCGCCGCGGUAAUAC